UUGCCUUCUCUCCUUUAUCAGUGAGCCAGAUUUGCACAUGAAGGCCACUGCAGUCCCUGGGAGGCUGAUAGCAUUUAUAGUCAGCAACAGCAAAAGAAAACCAAAGAUGCACACAAUGACUUGCUGACAUUAAGCCUUCUCUCAUCCUCGCCGGAUUCCUCUCUGCUCCACUUAGGAUUUCAACACACAGCUGGAGAACCACGGCUUGUCUUCAGAAUCUGAAAAGUAGCCUCAAGUGUUUUUAACCGGGAGAUGUAUUAGACAUCAAUACAGGCACCAAUCAAUGUGUUAAAAGGAAAAAAAACUAUAAAGCUUUCAUGUGGCGAAAUCAUCAAAACGUAAUGAUUAUUUAUUUUAAAAAUGGAUUUUAGAACAAAAUUAUUAAUUUUUGUCGUGGUGAAGCACUAUGAUUAGCACGCUUUCAUCACAGUCAGAAAUUGAAAGGUCUUUUCAAGUUGUAAAGGUUUGAGUAUGCUCUCCUGAUGUCAUGCAGAAGGGAAAAUUAAGUGUUUGAAUUGCGACUGUUUCCUACUGACCAGGCACAGCACCUCUAA
rnacentral:lncRNA from 1 species